rnacentral:rRNA from 1 species
AGUGAACGCUGGCGGUAGGCCUAACACAUGCAAGUCGAACGGCAGCACAGUAAGAGCUUGCUCUUACGGGUGGCGAGUGGCGGACGGGUGAGGAAUACAUCGGAAUCUACAUUUUCGUGGGGGAUAACGUAGGGAAACUUACGCUAAUACCGCAUACGACCUACGGGUGAAAGCAGGGGAUCUUCGGACCUUGCGCGAUUGAAUGAGCCGAUGUCGGAUUAGCUAGUUGGCGGGGUAAAGGCCCACCAAGGCGACGAUCCGUAGCUGGACUGAGAGGAUGAACAGCCACACUGGAACUGAGACACGGUCCAGACUCCUACAGGAGGCAGCAGUGGGGAAUAUUAGACGAUGGGCGCAAACCUGAUCCAGCCAUACCGCGUGAGUGAAGAAGGCCUUCGGGUUGUAAAACCCUUUUGUUGGGAAAGAAAAGCAGCAGGUUAAUACCCCGCUGUUCUGACGGUACCCAAAGAAUAAGCACCGGCUAGCUUCGUG